rnacentral:rRNA from 1 species
AAACCGUUCAGGGGUAAACCUGAGAAACCCAAAAGAUCGAAUGGGGAGAUUCAUUGUCAGCUCAUUUUGUAUAUAUAUGAGUUAUGAUAUGGGUUACUACUUGUAGUAUUGCCUGUACAUUCUUGUAUAUUUUAUUGCAAGAUGUUGUCGGCGUGCACUUCUCCCCUAGUAGGACGUCGCGACCCGUUGAGUGUCGGUCUACGGCCCGAGUGGUAGCCUUUAAUUCUUGUAAUUAAAGACCCUUGGUGUUUCCUGGCUGGCUGCUCGGCGGUAUUCGUACGGUAUUAAGCCGCAUUUAUGCGUUUAUAUCCGUCGCAAGCGCGGUCAAUUUUUAGUAGUACGGACCUAGUGCCGUCGCUAUAAUUGAUCAGCUGUUGGUUGUACGGUAUUCUAAAACUGGCUUAUCAUAUACCGGUCUGCGAUGCUACUGCUUUGGGUACUUUCAGGA